CUCAUUUCAGGGAGAUGCUGGGGGCCCAUUAAUUUGUGAUGAAACUUUCCGAGGUCUUGUUAGCUUUGGUCCCCCUACAUGUGGAUUGCCUGGAGAUGCUGAUGUUUACACUCGUCUCACUGAAGAUAUUGUCCAAUGGAUUAAGAACAGAACAGGAAUUCCUUAAUCCAAUUUUAACCACUGUAUCAUUGUAAACUAGGUGUGUGCUUGAAACCAUGCAGUAUGGUGCCUAUGUGCUUAUGUCUUAGAUACGGUUACAGUGGGCAUGAAAAUAUAAUUGCAAGACUUCUCAUGGGCGGCUCCCUUCCUUUGGAACAGCCUGCCUACCCCCAUCAGACGCUCACAUAGUCUCCAAUUGUUUAAGAAGUCCCUCAAAACACAUCUGUUCAGAAAUGCUUAUGGACUCCCAGAGUAACUUAUCUAUACUUUAUCCAAAUCUGUCUCUUGUUCUAAAGAAUCACACUUCGCUCUCACCUCCAGUUCUGCUACUUUUCCACCUUGUUUUGUGGCUGUCACCCUUUCUGCCUUGUUGUGUAUUUGUACCCCACCUCCUCUAUUCUGUAAGCUCAUUUGAGCAGGGUCCCCAUCUACCUAUUGUUCCUGUGUCACUGUGUAAUUGUCUCAUUUAUGGUAAAUUUCCACCCCUUUCAUAAUAUUGUAAAGCGCUGCAGAGUUAGUUGGCGCUAAAUAAAUACAAAUAAUAAUUACAGAUUGUUCCAAGCUUUGUUAAAAAUGAUGUCAAAAUUAAAAAAAAAUUUUUAUAAAAAUGACAACCCUAUAGAGAGACCCCUGAGACACUGCUUAGUGGGUUGGUCAGAGUGUGCAGAC